UAGGUGAACCUGCGGAAGGAUCAUAGUAAUCGUCUUUGACGUUCGCUUAUUCCGUUGUCCUCAGGACGUUAAGCUGCUCUGGUUGAGGAUAAACGACCCCUCUGACCGAGGUAAAACCUGUCGCUCUGUGUUACCUCUUUACUGGGGCACACGUUAAAGAUUGUUCCGCAUUGUGAGUCUAACACCAGUUGUAUAAACUUUUUACAACCGGUAGCGAUGGAUCCCUUGGCACGUCAUUCGAUGAAGACCGUUGCAAAUUGCGAUAAAGUGAUGUGAUGCGCAAGUCCACCACUUAUACGUGAAUCAUCGAGUUGUUGAACGCAUUGCACCGCGCCCUAAUCCGGCUGCGGUAUGCCCCUUUGAGCGUCAUUGUAUUCCUUCGGGAGUCCUUUUUACAAAGGACCCGAGUUCGGAGUCCUCGGUCCUCUGGAUCGUGUUCUCUUAGAUGCGUCGCACCGAUCGCCUGAUGGGUCUCUAAUGCCUAAGCGUGGAGCUCCUUCAGAGUCCGAGAGGUGCUUGACCGGGUGUUGAGCUCGCGUCACCAAGUCUGCCUCACAAGCAGUACUACAACGCAUGACCUCA
rnacentral:rRNA from 1 species